AAAGCCCAUUUUAGUGAGACCCAUGUACAGGAUCAUAAUGACAGCCCGAGCAAAGCCCGGCCCGGAGGAUGCCCAGGUUUAGCUGGGAACAAUCGCCGUCAGCCGCACGGCGAUACCGGGAUCCCCGUCGACUCCGGCGGCCGGAGGGCAACGCACGCGGGCCCGCACUCACGUCACGGCUCUCGCCACGGCUAAUCCGGCGAAGCUCUCCGCGGUCUACGCCGCCAGAAGUUUACUAGGUGGCUGAUGGUCCAGGUUCAUGCCAAGGAAAUCCCAGCUUCUUGUGGUCAUCAAGUCAUGGUGCUGAUUUGGAGUAACGCUGAUAACUUCAGAAGAAAGGAUCAUGCAUCAGGAUUGAAUUCCCCAAUUCGGUUAUCUUAACAGGAUAGUGUUAGAUCAACAGAGAAUCAGCGAAGCAAUUUUUGUAGCAAACUUGGCCCACCUGCAAGAUCUUGUGCUUGGUCAUCUGUUAACAUGGCCGCGAAGCCUGAGAAGCCAUGCUUGUAGCUAUAAGUGAUGGAGGCCAACGCAUCUUCCUUGCUGAAACAAAUCAGCAAGUGAUGAGAAAAAAAAAACCGACAGCCUUACUCGGAAUUGUCGAACGAAAUACUCUGUCCUUUAAAAGUAUAUAAUAUGGCCCGUCAGAAGAUCAGAACCGAACUCGGAAAGAUGGCAAACUUGUUCUGAGGUUUACCUUCCAAGAAUGGUGGUGAGCAUGUCAUGGUGCGAAGCUGUUACCAGAGAAGGGUCAUCAUGUUUCUUCUCUCCCAGGGUGAUGAAUCAGCCAUACCUUUUGAGAGCCAUACCCUCUGCCUAUGCUUAUCAUAAGGCAUAAGCAGAGUAGGAGGUAAGCCGGAAAACGCCGAGGGGAAGAGUGGAAAUCCAUGUUGGUAUGGAAGCACUUGCUGAUAUGAUCAGAAAGGAAGGUCAAAGAUACAGGCUCAGUUGGCAUGAAUCGAAUCUUUCGGCUAUCGACGCCAAUUUCCUCCCUGAAGUUCCCUGGAACUAGCUCAGCUGAAACGCGUUGCGUUUCUCCCCGCUCCAGCAUUCUCCCAGUUCAAACCUGUAAUAUUGCACUUAUUUUCCCUUCUCCUGAAGCGCGGCUUUUCAAUUUGUUCAUUCGCAUGUUUAGCAAGUACUACGUAGUAGUAAAUAAAUAUCAUAUCAUCUUCCCUACGAGAAGUAAUGGAAACAAAAACGUGUGGCGUGCAGGCAACGAAAUUGCUGAAGAUGCUGCCGGUUGCUGUAGGCUAGAACAGGGCAGGGCUCCGUUCAGACAGGGAAUCAAAUCGAGGGCCCUCCGGAUGGUCUCGUGCGCGUAUUGAAGGUGUGGUGGUUCUCAAUCGGCGGCGGGUUUUGUAUGCCUUUCCUUUUCCUGGCCGCUGCAUAUGAUUGUACGGGUCCAUCACCCGUGGCUGUGAGCGAUCCCAAGAACAUUGACUUGCUGAUGAGAGAGCAUCUCUUCCAUCUCUUCCGGAGAGAAGAUUGACUUGACUAGCGCGUCGACCAUCCAUGCCAUACGUAGUGCCAGCUCUUCCGGUGUUAUCGAGGAGACGUCAGUGCAGCCUGCUGAUCUUUUAUUUCUUGGAAGAGAAGUACACUUUUGCUUGAAAAAGUUCAUAAAUACUCCCUCUGUAAAGAAAAAUAUUAGAGCAUCUAUUUACGGAGGGAGUACUUGCUGAACUUUUUUUUGAGGAUUACUGAGUGUAUUCUGGCAGUGUAAAUAUGAGCUCUGACCAUGAUUUGUUCAAUGUCUGUUUAAUGGUUACAAAUUCAUAAUAGGAGGUGCUUAACAUGACAA